UCGGAUUGAACGUUUUUCAGUAGUUUAAGACAUGCAAAUCGUUGUUUCCAACGUCCUUUUUAUAAUUAAUAUUAUAAUGUCAAUGGGAUUAGGGGAUAAGGUGUAGAGGUGAGUAUGUUAAAUAAGAUACCCUAUAGUCUUCUUAGCUAGGAGAUAUAAAGUAAAGGAAAAUUUCUGCUGUGGGAUUCUAUUUAAUUUGAUUAGGUAGUUGAUAGGGUAACGGCCUACCAAGCCAACGAUCAAAAGUCAAGUUUGAAAGAACCUCUGGCCACAUUGGGGAUGAAAUCUCCCAAGUAGUAAUAACACUACCAGCAGUCGAGAAUAUUAGUCAAUGCUCGUAAGAGUGAACUAGCUAACUGAAAUCAUAGAAUUUCUUUAAAUUCAUGAUGUCGUAAGGGAAAAUAAUGAUAAUACCUUACUAUGAGUGUCGUCCAAAGCUGGUGCCAGAAGACUCGGUAAGACCAGAGACGCAAACGUUAAUCAUCAUAAACAGGCGUAAAGGGUUUGUAGGCAGCUUUUAUAAGGUUACGAUUGCAAAUAAAGGGUAAUCUACAUUGAAAGCUAGAAUCAAAAAGAGGUUAUAGUGUAUAACGCCUAGAGGAGGGCUGAUAUCCAUAGAUCCUAGGCAGAAUACUCAGGGCGAAGGCCACUCUCCAUUAAUGAUUGACGCUGAGAAACGAAGGUUAGGGUAGGAAAUAGGAUUAGAUACCCCGGUACUCCUUUCUGUAAACGAUGAAUGGUAGUCAUUAGUUUAAUUAAAUAACUAGAGGCGAAGUUAACACAAUAACCAUUCCGCCUUGUGA
rnacentral:rRNA from 1 species